UCGACGGCAGCACGGACUUCGGUCUGGUGGCGAGUGGCGAACGGGUGAGUAAUAUAUCGGAACGUAUCCAAUAAUGGGGGAUAACUAAGCGAAAGCUUGGCUAAUACCGCAUACGCCCUGAGGGGGAAAGCUAGGGAUCUUCGGACCUGGCGUUGAUGGAGCGGCCGAUAUCUGAUUAGCUAGUUGGUGGGGUAAAGGCCCACCAAGGCGACGAUCAGUAGCUGGUCUGAGAGGACGACCAGCCACACUGGAACUGAGACACGGUCCAGACUCCUACGGGAGGCAGCAGUGGGGAAUUUUGGACAAUGGGCGCAAGCCUGAUCCAGCCAUUCCGCGUGAGUGAAGAAGGCCUUCGGGUUGUAAAGCUCUUUCGCAAGGGAAGAAAGAUUACGCUCUAACAUAGCGUGAUUAUGACGGUACCUUGAUAAGAAGCACCGGCUAACUACGUGCCAGCAGCCGCGGUAAUACGUAGGGUGCGAGCGUUAAUCGGAAUUACUGGGCGUAAAGCGUGCGCAGGCUGUUUUGUAAGUCAGAUGUGAAAUCCCCGAGCUCAACUUGGGAACUGCGUUUGAAACUACAAGACUAGAAUAGGUCAGAGGGGGGUAGAAUUCCACGUGUAGCAGUGAAAUGCGUAGAGAUGUGGAGGAAUAUCAAUGGCGAAGGCAGCCCCCUGGGAUCAUAUUGACGCUCAUGCACGAAAGCGUGGGGAGCAAACAGGAUUAGAUACCCUGGUAGUCCACGCCCUAAACGAUGUCAACUAGUUG
rnacentral:rRNA from 1 species